GAGCAGCGCCUGCUGCCUGCUGUGACCUUUGAUGGCAAGGUUAUCCUGGAGCGGAAAGACAAAGUUGCCAUGGCCCCAGACGGCAACGGGGGCCUCUACUGCGCGCUGGAGGACCACAAGAUCCUGGAGGACAUGGAGCGCCGGGGAGUGGAGUUUGUGCACGUGUACUGUGUGGACAACAUCCUGGUGCGGCUGGCAGACCCUGUCUUCAUCGGCUUCUGUGUGUUGCAGGGCGCAGACUGUGGCGCCAAGGUGGUGGAAAAGGCAUACCCCGAGGAGCCCGUGGGCGUGGUGUGCCAGGUGGACGGCGUCCCCCAGGUGGUGGAGUACAGCGAGAUCAGUCCUGAGACCGCACAGCUACGUGCCUCCGACGGCAGCCUGCUGUACAAUGCAGGCAACAUCUGCAACCACUUCUUCACCCGAGGCUUCCUUAAGGCGGUCACUAGGUGUGCGGCAGCAGGUGGCUGCGGAGUGCUGGCCAGAGCCGCCUGCGUUGACCAGGGUCCCGCGGGGUCCCAGUGAGCUGAGUGCCCUGGGCCACAGCGGCUGUGGUCAGGAGUGGCUGUGGUCAGGAGCGGCUGAUGGGUUGGGGUGGAGAAUGGAUCCUGCACUUGCAAAGGCAGAGGUGCUGGAGAUCAGGCACAAGCCGUGCUCAGCAGGCAGCUGCUGUAAGGCUCUGUGAUCAAGUCUGCCAUCUCCUCUUUCUGGGGACCUGCCCUGGUGCCCAUGGUGCUAUCUCUGCUCUGGGGCUUGCCAGUUUCUGUUUCCUUGGGCAGGGAUGUGGCUGAUGGUGCCUGGCACUUGGCACGGGGAUGCAGGGAGGAGGUCUGUGCCUGCUUCUCCCUGGAGAUCUGGCCCUACUCUGCCGCUUCUGUGCCCUGUAGUGUCCUUCUGCCAUCCUGUCCCACCCAGCUGGGUGUGCUCAGAAGUGGGGACAGAGCCCCCAGCGGUGGCAUAUUUGAUGUGUUUCUUUCCUCCCCUCUGCUCUCCCGUGCCCCAGGGAGUUUGAGCCUUUGCUGAAGCCACACGUGGCUGUGAAGAAGGUCCCGUAUGUGGAUGAGGAGGGGAAUCUGGUAAAGCCGCUAAAACCGAACGGGAUAAAGAUGGAGAAGUUUGUGUUUGAUGUGUUCCGGUUUGCUAAGUUAGUAGUGGAACUCAUUUAUUUUCCCCUUCUUCCUUCCCUCAGUUUUGGUGGUGGGAACUGAGGUCCAGCUGGCAGGGAAGUAGAGGCUUGGGAGAGCCAAGGGCCCUGCGGGCAGGUCUCAGGGAGAAGACCAGAGAGUGCUCUUGGCCCUGAGGGUAAGCAGCCCCCGAGGUGGGGGCAUAGGGAGUCCUUGGGGCUGUGGACUUGGGAGGACAGUAGUGCCACCUCCUGGACCUUCCACUGCCCCCACCCAUGGUUAGGAGAGGUCUCCUGGCCAGGAUGCCAGGGCGGCUCGCAGGGCCUUUGGCCCUCACUGCAGGGGUCCCAGGGUUGGGGCUUUUGGCUGCUGAAAAUGGCUGCUGGAAUUGGGCCAUCCCCGGCAUCUCAGGAGCAAAGACACUCAGUACCUGUGGGGGCUCCUCCCUAGACUUGCUACCCACGGGACCAGACCUUCACUCUGUCACUGGAAACCUGGCCUAGCUCUCACCUGCCCGGAUCAGGGCCUCUGUGCCGGGACAUGGGUGACUAGCCCUUUCCCCACCAGGAACUUUGUUGCCUUUGAAGUGCUACGGGAGGAGGAAUUUUCCCCACUGAAGAAUGCAGAGCCGGCUGACAGGGAUAGUCCCCGCACCUCUCGCCGGGCCCUGCUCACCCAGCACUACUGGUGGGCUCUGCGGGCCGGGGCCCACUUCCUGGAUGCCCAUGGGGCCUGGCUCCCGGAGCUACCCGGCUUGCCCCCAAAUGGAGACCCUCCGGCCAUCUGUGAGAUAUCGCCCUUGGUGUCUUACUCUGGAGAGGUGAGAGCUGCCCAUCCCUAUCUGGGGCUUUUCUGGAGUCAGGUUUGGAAUACCAUCUGGGGAGAGGUGGCUGCUUGGGUGGAGACGGCACAGCUCUACCUCAGUUAACCAAUGGGGUUGGUGGUUUAAAUUUGCAGAAAACUUUCCAAGAUAUGGGAUGGGGUGGGGUGAGGCAUCCAGAGGCCUUUGCAGGUCCUGGGAGGGCAUGGGGAUGAGACAGCCCAGGUCUGAGCCCAGUGUGGGGCCAGUCAGGCCUUGGUGGGGGCCUCGAGGAGGGAGGACACCGGCCUCUGCUAUCUCCCUGACUUUGGCUGCUGUUGCCCCUUUCUCUGGUCAGGUCAGACCUGUGCAUGACAAGAGGGUCCCCUGCUGGCCUAGGGUCUUGAGUGUGGUCUUGGGUGGCCUUGCAGUGUGUGUCUGCUCCUGGCCCUGGAAGCCUUUCUGUCCCCACCCCUCCCUGACUCCAGGCAGACCUGGGAUCGCGCCUGGGGACUGUGGCUCUUGGUGUGGCCAGAGGGGCUGUGGCUGGCCAAAAGGUGGGUGCUUGGCCAUUGUCCCCUGCUCGUCUCCAGGGUUUAGAGGUGUACCUGCAAGGCCGGGAGUUCCAGUCCCCGCUCAUCCUGGAUGAAGACCAGGCCAGGGAGCUGCAGCCGCAGGAGUCCUGACCCCCCGAGACUGCCCCCAGACUCCCCUGAGACCUGCCAGCCCCGGCAUCCUGGAAGUCCCGACUCCCCCCAGACCUGCCAGCCCUGUCGUCCUGGAACUGGGGGCUACGGCCCCAGCCUGAGCUCUGGGUGGGAAAGCAGCCUGCCACGUGCUUCCAGCCUGCAGAACACAGAAUGAAACAUGCUGGUAGACUCCACGAGGGCAGUGCCUCUCCUGUCGCCUCUGGACACAGGUGGCUACAGCCUGCUGAGGGCUCUGUGGCUCCAUUCCUGGCUGUCGGGUCUAGUCAAGAGGCAGAGGGACUUAGGACCUGGGAGAAUGGGGCUGAGAGGAGGCUUUAGGUUGGGACCCAAGGGAGGUGUGGUGUCAUCUGGGGAACAGGAGGGCACGUCCCUUUGGGAGCCCACCCUGUGGAUCCACCGCACCCCACCAAGCACUAGAAGCUGCAUAAGCUACACAGGAUGUGCUUCUGCAGCCUACAGUUGCAGAACCAGAAUGAGGGGGACAAUUCCACCCACUCGAGGGCUGCCGCCUCCUCCUUAGCAGACGAACCAGUAAUGGGGACAAGGCUGGGGCAUCCCAGCCCACACAUCCUGGAUGCCCAGCAAGGCCACAGACAAGGCCUGAUGCCCAUGAUCCAGGUGGCUCUGAGAAGCUUGGCCUGGACACCUGAGCCUGCGGCCAGUACUCCCGCCUUCUCCCCAUCUAUCCCCAAGGCCUCUGCCUGUCCGCCUCUUCCAUGGUCGGUUUAGGCUGCUGAGUUUUCUGUGCUUCCUCAAGAACCAGUGGGAUCAAUGCUGGCGGCCUCUGUGAUGGUUGCUGACUAAUCCGGGAUUUCAUGAGUCAGAGGCACCACCCCUUACCCCAGCUGCCUGCUGCUUCUGACGGAUCUUGGUGCUCAGGCUGCCCGGCUCUCCAAGUAAGGAUGCAGCCUCCAUAUUUGGUGCACUCGGGCAUGGCUGGAACAAGCCAGCUGCCCCGGGGUUCUUCCCCCGGUGAUUCUCGCCUGCUUUCUCAUCUUGGGGGAGGCAGUGGCACCUCCCUCUCCCUGCUGACAUGAAGAGAGCUAUGAUAUGCAACUGCUGCUAACUCAUCCUCCGCCCCCACCUCGGAACCCACGGCCCCCAGUGGAGGGCCACUACUCAUCCCCAUUGGUUUCCCAGGGGAGGGGUGUUGUCUGGAAGGGCAGGUUCGGAUGCGGCUUUGCAGACUUAGAGGCACUGGGAGGACAGUGGCUGAGUGGACGUGACCAGACCUGGGCAGGCAGCAGGCUCAGGCCCACACCUUGUGAUUUUUGAAACCGAAGCCCAGAGGAUGACGUCUGCUUCUCUCCCUGGCUCUGUGCUUCUUAUUGCAAACCAUGCCUGUGCCUUAGGGCCCUUCUCAUAGCUGCUCCUCAUGGCCAUGACUGGAACAGGGAUGCAACCUCUUUCUACACAAGCACAGUUAGUUGGGUGAAGUCUUUUUUUUUUUUUUAGACGGAGUUUCACUCUUGUUGCCCAGGCUGGAGUGAAGUGGCGUGACCUUGGCUCACUGCAACCUCCGCCUCCAGCCUCAGCCUCCCUAGUAGCUGGGACUACAGGCACCCACCACCAUGCCUGGCUAAUUCUUUGUAUUUUUAGUAGAGAUGGGGUUUGACCAUGUUAGCCAGGAUGGUCUCAUUUCCUGACCUCGUGAUCUACCCACCUUGGCCUCCCAAAGUGCUGGGAUUAUAGGUGUGAGCCACCGCACCGGGCCGGUUGCUGGCAUCUUAAUGUUCUGUAGGUGGGACAUUUCCAAUAAACACAAGGUGCUGUGAUUGA
rnacentral:sRNA from 1 species